CAGAGGGUGCAAGCGUUAAUCGGAGUUACUGGGCGUAAAGGGCGCGUAGGCGGUUAUUUAAGUGAGAUGUGAAAUCCCUGGGCUUAACCUAGGAAUUGCAUUUUAGACUAGAUGACUGGAGUACAGUAGAGGGUAGCGGAAUUUCCGGUGUAGCGGUGAAAUGCGUAGAGAUCGGAAGGAACAUCAGUGGCGAAGGCGGCUACCUGGACUGACACUGACGCUGAGGCGCGAGAGCGUGGGGAGCAAACAGGAUUAGAUACCCUGGUAGUCCACGCUGUAAACGAUGAGAACUAGAUGAUGGUUUGCGCGAGCGAAUUGGUAUCGAAGCUAACGCGAUAAGUUCUCCGCCUGGGGAGUACGGCCGCAAGGUUA
rnacentral:rRNA from 1 species